UGAAUACGAGAUGCUACGGCAUUGAAGCAGUCUAUGUCAGACUUCCAAGAAAAGCUCGCAAUGUCAUAAACAAUUAAUGCCUGUACCAUAACCGACACAGGUGGGUAGGUAGAGUAUACUAAGGGGCGCGAGGUAACUCUCUCUAAGGAACUCGGCAAAAUGACUCCGUAACUUCGGGAGAAGGAGUGCCUUAUUUUAUAAGGUUGCAAUAACAAGAUCCAAGCAACUGUUUACCAAAAACACAGGUCUCCGCUAAGUCGUAAGACGAUGUAUGGGGGCUGACGCCUGCCCAGUGCCAGAAGGUUAAAGAAGUUGGUUAGCCUAGCGAAGCUGAUGACUGAAGCCCUGGUGAACGGCGGCCGUAACUAUAACGGUCCUAAGGUAGCGAAAUUCCUUGUCGGGUAAGUUCCAACCCGCACGAAAGGCGUAAUGAUUUGGAUACUGUCUCGGAGAGGGGCUCGGUGAAAUAGACUUGUCUGUGAAGAUGCGGACUACCUGCACCUGGACAGAAAGACCCUAUGAAGCUUUACUGUAACUUGAGAUUGAAAUUGGACUUUAUUUGCGCAGUAUAGGUGGGAGACGUUGAGAAUAUUCUUGCGGGAAUAUUGGAGUCAUCAGUGAGAUACCACUCUUGUAAUGUUAGAUUUCUAACUUUGAAUCAUUAUCUGGUCAAAGAACAGUCUCAGGCGGGCAGUUUGACUGGGGCGGUCGCCUCCUAAACGGUAACGGAGGCGCACAAAGGUUUCCUCUGAACGUGUAGAAAUCGUAUCUAGAGUGUAAAGGCAUAAGGAAGCUUGACUGUGAGACCUACAAGUCGAGCAGGGACGAAAGUCGGUCUUAGUGAUCUGACGGUGCUGAGUGGAAAGGCCGUCACUCAACGGAUAAAAGUUACUCUAAGGAUAACAGGCUGAUCUCCCCCAAGAGUUCACAUCGACGGGGAGGUUUGGCACCUCGAUGUCGGCUCAUCGCAUCCUGGGGCGGUAGUACGUCCCAAGGGUUGGGCUGUUCGCCCAUGAAAGCGGUACGCGAGCUGGGUUCAGAACGUCGUGAGACAGUUCGGUCCAUAUCCGGUGUAGGCGUUAGAAUAUUGAGAGGAGCCUUCUUUAGUACGAGAGGACCGAGAAGGACAUACCUCUGGUGUACCAGUUAUCGUGCCAACGGUAAACGCUGGGUAGCUAUGUAUGGAGUGGAUAACCGCUGAAAGCAUCUAAGUGGGAAGCCCACCUCAAGAUAAGUAUUCUCA
rnacentral:rRNA from 1 species